rnacentral:lncRNA from 1 species
AAAUACUGGCUCAAUAUAUUACUAGGGUGUCUGCGUAGAUAUAUCUUGUUAUCUUGCUUGGUUAUACAUAACGAGACUACGAGGAAGGAUCAGACCACAAUACUCGUUGAUCCUUCCCACAAACCCUGGCUGACCAGUUCAGUAAUACUAGUGUAGUACUCCUAGUAAGUAGUAACCUGAAACAACUGAAACUAACUCACGGAUUCACGCAUGGGGCACGUACCAUCACACGAAACAUGUGUGUACAGUUUUUGCAGCCAUGUUCGGCUCGCUGAAAUUUGGCUGAUGCAGUCGUAUCGUAUCCAUCAGAUCAUUUCUUCUUGGCACCGGGAGACGGCGACGCGGUCGCGGCGGGCGCCCUGCCCCCUUCGCCUUUCUUGCCCGCGCCCACGACCGUCCGGUCGCCGCAGGCGAGGACCGCCGCCGUGGCCAGGGCAUCCGCAAUGUCCCUGACGAUCCUCUCCUUGACCUGGCCCCUCCGCCGGGGCAGCGGGUUCCCCGACGGCGUCUUGACGAGGCGAGUUCUGCCGACCGGAGCAGCCUCGCAGCCACCAGUUGCCAUUGCUUGACUGCUCUAGUAGACCUCUAGUGUGCUCUCGUGACUACUAGCGAGAAAAGCUAGUGGCUACCUGGC